GAUGAACGCUGGCGGCGUGCUUAACACAUGCAAGUCGAACGAAGCACUUUAGUUGAUUUCUUCGGAUUGAUUCUAAAGUGACUUAGUGGCGGACGGGUGAGUAACGCGUGGGUAACCUGCCUUGUACAGGGGGAUAACAGUUAGAAAUGACUGCUAAUACCGCAUAACCCGCUAAGGUCGCAUGACCUGGACGGAAAAGAUUUAUCGGUACAAGAUGGACCCGCGUCUGAUUAGCUAGUUGGUGAGGUAACGGCCCACCAAGGCGACGAUCAGUAGCCGGCCUGAGAGGGUGACCGGCCACAUUGGGACUGAGACACGGCCCAAACUCCUACGGGAGGCAGCAGUGGGGAAUAUUGCACAAUGGGGGAAACCCUGAUGCAGCAACGCCGCGUGAGUGAAGAAGUAUUUCGGUAUGUAAAGCUCUAUCAGCAGGGAAGAAAAUGACGGUACCUGACUAAGAAGCCCCGGCUAACUACGUGCCAGC
rnacentral:rRNA from 1 species